rnacentral:lncRNA from 1 species
CGCAGGGUUUGUCUCUCAGGGAACCAGGGACGCGCUCCUGCCGUCCUCCUGGGCCAGCGGACCAGCCCUCCGCACCCCCAAGGGAUCCAGAGCUGAAAAGCGCCUGGAAACUCCUCUCCCUGAUCCGUCGCGCGCCCUGCGCAUUCUAGGCACUACCCAGGGGUCUUUGCCGGGGACAGAGGGCCUCGGAGGAGAGACUCGUUUAACUCCAGAGACGUAGCCCCUCUACCCACCUACUGGUCGAAAAGCGCCUAAGUAAGGCCGGGGGAUGGGGAAGGCGGCAGCUGCACCAAGACCAGAAGGAAGGAGGGGGCUGAGGAACCGCGCCCAGGUGGUGGAAGGUCCCUCAUGCUAAGGACCAGCAGACAAGAGAAAGAUCUGUUGACGAAAAUAAUCCAUAACCAAUCUGUAAAUGAAAAUUUGGAUCCUGGUGGGGGUAAUUGACUCCUAUCAAGAGGCGGUGGAACUACUGUUUUACAACUUUCAGUACUGUCUUGUGCAAUUUUGAUGGCAAAUGGAUAAGCACAGCAGGUGCAGCCUGAGAGGAGCAUGGUAAACAGUAA